rnacentral:rRNA from 1 species
GGAAGGGGUGUAUUUAUUAGAUAAAAAACCAAUGCCCUUCGGGGCUCCUUGGUGAUUCAUAAUAACUUAACGAAUCGCAUGGCCUUGCGCCGGCGAUGGUUCAUUCAAAUUUCUGCCCUAUCAACUUUCGAUGGUAAGAUAGUGGCUUACCAUGGUCUCAACGGGUAACGGGGAAUUAGGGUUCUAUUCCGGAGAGGGAGCCUGAGAAACGGCUACCACAUCCAAGGAAGGCAGCAGGCGCGCAAAUUACCCAAUCCCAAUUCGGGGAGGUAGUGACAAUAAAUACUGAUACGGGGCUCUUUCGGGUCUCGUAAUUGGAAUGAGUACAAUCUAAAUCCCUUAACGAGGAACAAUUGGAGGGCAAGUCUGGUGCCAGCAGCCGCGGUAAUUCCAGCUCCAAUAGCGUAUAUUAAAGUUGUUGCAGUUAAAAAGCUCGUAGUUGAACCUUGGGUUUGGCUGACCGGUCCGCCUCACCGCGUGCACUGGCUCGGCCGGAUCUUUCCUUCUGGCAAACCUCAUGCCCUUUAUUGGGUGUGUUGGGGAACCAGGACUUUUAC